rnacentral:rRNA from 1 species
GAUCCUGGCUCAGAUUGAACGCUGGCGGAAUGCUUUACACAUGCAAGUCGAACGAUGAAGUCCAGCUUGCUGGACGGAUUAGUGGCGAACGGGUGAGUAACAUAUCGGAACGUACCCAGUAAUGGGGGAUAACUAGUCGAAAGACUGGCUAAUACCGCAUACGCCCUGAGGGGGAAAGCGGGGGUAUCGAAAGACCUCGUGUUAUUGGAGCGGCCGAUAUCUGAUUAGCUAGUUGGUGGGGUAAAGGCCUACCAAGG